GAAAGAAGGAAAAAUAAAGGAAAUAGAGAGGAGGUGUUGGGACAGCAGAUUAUUGCUGGAGAAGAAGAUGGAUUUUUCCCAUUUUUAACUCAUUUAUCUCUUGUAAGUAAGCUUGUCUAAUUUUGAUUGGCCAAGCACUUUUUAAUUGCAUCAUCAUUAUGUCAUUAUUGAAUUUAAAUUUUGUUUUUCUUUCUUUUCUUUUUCUUUCUUUUAGAAUUCUGCAUACAAAUGAAGGACAUGCUGCUGACACCUUAGAACAGAACAAUGAUGAAGUUCUAUGAGCAACACGACGUGCUCGCAACCCUUUCAGCAGGUCUGUCCAGAACCAUCCCGGGUGCAUUCUGUACUGGUUGCACUCGUGGUAAUCUCUUUGCUAUUUCAUAGAAGAUAUCAUUGACAUUAGCAGCACUUUUUGCAGAGGUUUCCAUGAAGAAAAGGCCAUUCUCCUGUGCAUAUGUUUGUGCAUCCUCUGCAGCAACCUUCCUAGAAUCCAACAAAUCUGAUUUAUUCCCAGCUAAAGCCAUGACCAUAUUCGGAUUGCCUUGUGCCUGAAGUUCUUGAACCCAUUUUUUUGCCCGAU
rnacentral:misc_RNA from 1 species